rnacentral:lncRNA from 1 species
GGUGAAGCAUACCAAGCGGGGAAAGGUGCUACUGUUACGGGACAUAGCACGUGCUCCCCGACUAUAAAGGCAUG